rnacentral:rRNA from 3 species
GGGUUGUCAUGCCAAUGGCACUGCCCGGUAGCUAAAUGCGGAAGAGAUAAGUGCUGAAAGCAUCUAAGCACGAAACUUGCCCCGAGAUGAGUUCUCCCUGAGACUAUAAGUCUCCUGAAGGAACGUUGAAGACGACGACGUUGAUAGGCCGGGUGUGUAAGCGCAGCGAUGCGUUGAGCUAACCGGUACUAAUGAACCGUGAGGCUUAACCUUACAACGCCGAAG